CCUACGGGAGGCAGCAGUGAGUAAUAUUUGUCAAUGGGCGCUAGCCUGAACCAGCCAAGUCGCGUGAAGGAUGACUGCCCUAUGGGUUGUAAACUUCUUUUAUAUGGGAAUAAAGUGCAGUAUGUAUACUGCUUUGCAUGUACCUUAUUAAUUCGGAUCGGCUAACUCCGUGCCAGCAGCCGCGGUAAUACGGAGGCUCCGAGCGUUAUCCGGAUUUAUUGGGUUUAAAGGGAGCGUAGGCGGGUUGUUAAGUCAGUUGUGAAAGUUUGCGGCUCAACCGUAAAAUUGCAGUUGAUACUGGCAGCCUUGAGUACAGUAGAGGUAGGCGGAAUUCGUGGUGUAGCAGUGAAAUGCUUAGAUAUCACGAAGAACUCCGAUUGCGAAGGCAGCCUGCUGGACUGUAACUGACGCUGAUGCUCGAAAGUGUGGGUAGCAAACAGGAUUAGAUACCCCAGUAGUC
rnacentral:rRNA from 1 species